rnacentral:rRNA from 1 species
GACAGAGGGUGCAAACGUUGUUCGGAAUUACUGGGCGUAAAGCGCGUGUAGGCGGCUUCGCAAGUCGGAUGUGAAAUCCCACGGCUCAACCGUGGAAGUGCAUUCGAAACUGCAAGGCUAGAGUUCUGGAGAGGAAGGUGGAAUGCUUGGUGUAGAGGUGAAAUUCGUAGAUAUCAAGCGGAACACCGGUGGCGAAGGCGGCCUUCUGGACAGUAACUGACGCUGAGGCACGAAAGCCAGGGGGAGCAAACGGGG